AUUGAACGCUGGCGGCAUGCCUUACACAUGCAAGUCGAACGGCAGCACGGGUGCUUGCACCUGGUGGCGAGUGGCGAACGGGUGAGUAAUAUAUCGGAACGUACCUUAUUGUGGGGGAUAACGCAGCGAAAGCUGUGCUAAUACCGCAUAAUCCCUACGGGGGAAAGCGGGGGACCUUAAGGCCUCGCGCAAUUAGAGCGGCCGAUACCUGAUUAGCUAGUUGGUGAGGUAAAGGCUCACCAAGUCAACGAUCAGUAGCUGGUCUGAGAGGACGAUCAGCCACACUGGGACUGAGACACGGCCCAGACUCCUACGGGAGGCAGCAGUGGGGAAUUUUGGACAAUGGGGGCAACCCUGAUCCAGCAAUGCCGCGUGAGUGAAGAAGGCCUUCGGGUUGUAAAGCUCUUUUGUCAGGGAAGAAACAGCAGCUCUAACACAGUUUGCGAAUGACGGUACCUGAAGAAUAAGCACCGGCUAACUACGUGCCAGCCGCCGCAGUAA
rnacentral:rRNA from 1 species